GACGAACGCUGGCGGCGUGCUUAACACAUGCAAGUCGAACGGAAAGGCCCUGCUUGCAGGGUACUCGAGUGGCGAACGGGUGAGUAACACGUGGGUGAUCUGCCCUGCACUUCGGGAUAAGCCUGGGAAACUGGGUCUAAUACCGGAUAGGAGCCAUUUUUAGUGUGAUGGUUGGAAAGUUUUUUCGGUGUAGGAUGAGCUCGCGGCCUAUCAGCUUGUUGGUGGGGUAAUGGCCUACCAAGGCGGCGACGGGUAGCCGGCCUGAGAGGGUGGACGGCCACAUUGGGACUGAGAUACGGCCCAGACUCCUACGGGAGGCAGCAGUGGGGAAUAUUGCACAAUGGGCGCAAGCCUGAUGCAGCGACGCCGCGUGGGGGAUGACGGCCUUCGGGUUGUAAACUCCUUUCGCUAGGGACGAAGCUUUUUGUGACGGUACCUAGACAAGAAGCACCGGCUAACUACGUG
rnacentral:rRNA from 1 species